UACCUGCAGCUCAAGUGGUGGCCGCUAUUACUGGGCCUAAAACGUUCGUAGCCGGUUUAAUAAAUGCCUGGGUAAAUCGUGUAGCUUAACUAUACGAAUUCCGGGUAGACUGAUAGACUUGAGACCGGGAGAAGCUAGAGGUACUCCUGGGGUAGAGGUGAAAUUCUGUAAUCCUGGGGGGACCACCAGUGGCGAAGGCGUCUAGCUAGAACGGGUCUGACGGUGAGGAACGAAGCCCUGGGGCGCAAACCGGAUUAGAUACCCGGGUAGUCCAGGGUGUAAACGCUGCUUGCUUUAUGUUAGUUGGGCUCCGAGCCCAAUUAGUGUCGGAGAGAAGUUGUUAAGCAAGCUGCCUGGGAAGUACGAUCGCAAGAUUGAAACUUAAAGGAAUUGGCGGGGAGCACAGCAACGGGUGGAGCGUGCGGUUU
rnacentral:rRNA from 1 species